UUAAACAAAGCUUUACAACAAUCAAACAUACAACUUCAUGUUUAUGUGGUAACUUAGCAAAUGAUUUCGUUAAAUAUUUGCAGAUGACUCAAUGAACUACCAUGAUGAACACGUGUAUGAAUGGUUUAAUAUUUGCGCUUUUGGCAAUACUUUUUGCCGAAAGUGCAAAUGGAACUAGAGUCCUGAUGAGACCUUAUAAGAGGAUACAAAUGUGUCCAGAUGGCAAUGUUCCAGAUCAAGUUUUUCCAGAUCAAGAUCGAAUCGCAUGUAAACCUGGACCUGGGCCUGGCAAAAAUGUUAAGUGUAAAAUUUUCCAUUCCACGGUGAGCAAUUUUUUUCAGUGUCCUAAAUAUGGUUACUAUAGUGGCUGGUUCCACCUAGGUUUGAAACGAAUGCUAAAAUGUUGUAGAGAGCCAGGAAUACAGUACUCCCUAAAAGAUUGCAGACUUGUUUAUAAUGACAAACUUCCACAAGGACGGAUUUUUAGAGUAGAUAAAGGGAAGUUCAUGACCACAUCUUGGUCUCCUGAUGGCGGGGUUACAUGGUUUAGCUAUCAGUGCGCAUAUAACACAAGUCCUCCAAUCAGCUAUAAGAACUUUUUCAAACCACCUGGUAACUGGUAAAUGUGUCAGCUUGAAAAAUAAAUGUAAAAGUUAUCGUAUAACUUAAUAA